AAUAAGUGCAGUUUUAUACUAUUCACGUUUAACGUUUGACCGUUCGUCUUAUUUAAAAAUUUUUUAUGAUUAGUAUUUUUAUUAUGAUAAAAUAUGAAUAGUACUUUAUGUGUGACUAAAUAUUUUUAAAUUUUUCACAAAUUUUUCAAAUAAGAUGGACGGUCAAAUGUACGGAUAUCCAUGACUGCACUUAUU
rfam:Oryza barthii chromosome 2, whole genome shotgun sequence.